AUUGAACGCUGGCGGCAUGCCUUACACAUGCAAGUCGAACGGUAACAGGUCUUCGGAUGCUGACGAGUGGCGAACGGGUGAGUAAUACAUCGGAACGUGCCUAGUAGUGGGGGAUAACUACUCGAAAGAGUGGCUAAUACCGCAUGAGAUCUACGGAUGAAAGCAGGGGAUCGCAAGACCUUGUGCUACUAGAGCGGCCGAUGGCAGAUUAGGUAGUUGGUGGGAUAAAAGCUUACCAAGCCGACGAUCUGUAGCUGGUCUGAGAGGACGAUCAGCCAGACUGGGACUGAGAAACGGCCCAGACUCCGACGGGAAGCAGCAGUGGGGAAUUUUGGACAAUGGGCGCAAGCCUGUUCCAGCAAUGCCGCGUGCAGGAUGAAGGCAUUCGGGUUGUAAACUGCUUUUGUACGGAACGAAAAGCCCCGGGUUAAUACCCUGGGGUCAUGACGGUACCGUAAGAAUAAGCACCGGCUAACUACGUGCCAGCCGCCGCCGUAA
rnacentral:rRNA from 1 species